rnacentral:rRNA from 1 species
CCUUUGACGUUAGCGGCGGACGGGUGAGUAACACGUGGGUAACCUACCUAUAAGACUGGGAUAACUUCGGGAAACCGGAGCUAAUACCGUAUAAUAUUUCGAACCGCAUGGUUCGAUAGUGAAAGAUGGUUUUGCUAUCACUUAUAGAUGGACCCGCGCCGUAUUAGCUAGUUGGUAAGGUAACGGCUUACCAAGGCGACGAUACGUAGCCGACCUGAGAGGGUGAUCGGCCACACUGGAACUGAGACACGGUCCAGACUCCUACGGGAGGCAGCAGUA